AUGGAACAAUGUAGGCAAGGGAAGUCGGCAAAACGGAUCCGUAACUUCGGGAAAAGGAUUGGCCCUGAGGACUGGGCUCGGGGGUCCCGGCCCCGAACCCGUCGGCUGUCGGCGGAUUGCUCGAGCUGCUCACGCGGCGAGAGCGGGUCGCCGCAUGCCGGCCGGGGGACGGACCGGGAAUCGCGCCUUCGGGGGCUUUCCCCGAGCAUGAAACAGUCGACUCAGAACUGGUACGGACAAGGGGAAUCCGACUGUUUAAUUAAAACAAAGCAUUGCGAUGGUCCUCGCGGAUGCUGA
rnacentral:rRNA from 1 species